UUUUAAGGAAAAAACCUAACUAUCUCCUCAUUUCCCUAAGUCAGCCGCAAACCCCCAUUUGAGCUCUCUCUCCCUCGUUUUUCUCUCUAGCAGAUGGCAACAUUGCCUAAAUCCGAUAGCUUUAUUAUUUAAAAUUGUUUGGAAUUGAUUUCUGUAGCUAUGUUUGAUAUUAUUAAGUUAUUUUUAGUUACAUUCGAGUCGUUGGAGGCUGACUUGCGAGGGAAAUUAUUUUUGCAGUGUUAAUAUACCUUGUUUAAGGUAAAUAUAUAGCCUAACUUUGGGUUGAGGGACUAGUUUCUUGAAUAGUUGAUAUUGGAUACGUGCUAGGAUGGCGUACAUGUGAGGGGUCAAGCCCAUGUGCGUACACCGGGUCUAUCCAUGUUCAAGAUUCCAUUAUUGUUGCUGCGUGUAUUUGUAUUCAUGACUUGUACAGAUAUAUCACAUGAGUAUCAUUGGUGAUUCUUGCCGCUACCCUUUCGAGGUUAGUCAUGAUACUUACUGAGCACAUGAGAUCAGUUAUACUUAUACUACACUCUGUAUUUAAUUGUGCAGAUUCGGGAGUUGGACCGAGUUGAUCUUUGGUGAUGGUGGUUGUCGCUGUGGAGACCAAGAUAGAGUCUCACCCUAAUCACAGUCCCUAACAUCCCCUUCUAUCAUCGGUUUACUAUAUUUGAUUCAGACAAUACUUUUUAUUAUUAUAUUUGUACUCUUGUAAUAGAGCUCAUGACUUAGUAUUACCAGUUCAGGGGAAUUUAUAUAUUAUCACAGUCUUUAUCUAUGGUUAUUA